CCCACCACCAAGAUCUAUGACUCAGAGGAACAAAACAGUGAUGAAGCCGUGUCACCUUCUGUGGUCCCAGCUCUGGUCUUGGUGGCAUUCGCCCUUCUCUUAAUCUAGACGAGUCCUCGGAGAGCCAGGCGCUCCCGGAUCCCCCCCUCCUCCGCUCUCGCCCACCCACCACAACCUGCCCUGGAUGGAGCCAAGGACUUCUCCGUGCCAGGCGAGAUGGCGGGUGGGACACGAGGGAGCCGCCCUCCGGAGCGCACCAGGGAGGAGCCCCCAGGCUCGGGUCAUACAGCUAAGCCACCAAGCCAAAGAUGCUUCCUUCGGCCACCACAGUAGGAUCCUCAAAGCGUGUGGACAGGGCAGCUCAGACCAGGGGCCCCGAGGGCCACACGGAGCUGGGAGCUCUCUGCUCUUCUGAACUGGGAGAAGACGAACCUCGGCGAGUCCUCGGCUGAGCAAGACGUGGAAGUUGUGGGGAGGGACCCUCCCAGACCCCCUCUGGGAACCCCAAGACUUCCAUGGUGGAGAGGGUGGGGUCUUUUUCUGCCUGCACUGACGUCAUCGUCGCCGAAAGAUGGGGGCUGUUCCUGGACCAUCCCCCGUUGCCUCCCCCUCUUUGUAAUGGAGUCUGUUUGGUUUAUACAAGGAUCACUGAGGUUUCUGUACUGCUCUUAUUAUGGGGGGUGGGGGGUGGAGGGUGGGAUCCACAUGGGGGGGUGGGGUCUGUAGCUAAGCCGAGACACCCCACCGACCCUCCUCAGCUCAUCCUCCUCCCCCCCCCCCCCCCGUUUUGUAAUGCCCCCCUUCCCUCCUGCCCCAGAACCCACUUCCGAUCUCGCCCCUCUCCCCCGUUGGGGUGCAGCAUUUAAGACCGUAAGCCCCUCUAACCUCCCCCCCUUCGAACGUAUGCUGUCUUUGAACUUUUUAUAGAUGUACAUAAAAAUUUUAAGACUCAACGUGCACACAAACCCACACCCACACCGGAAAGGGGAGGGGAGCCCAGUGGAGAAGAUGCUCAUUAAAUGUGACCAUUUCAUUACAACUUU